rnacentral:rRNA from 1 species
GAUGAACGCUGACAGAAUGCUUAACACAUGCAAGUCGAUGGGGAAGUGGUGCUUGCACCAUGGCAACCAUGGCGGACGGGUGAGUAACGCGUAAGGGACUUACCUGCAGGACUGGGAUAACAGGGGGAAACUCCUGACAAGACCGGAUAAUGUCAUGGAGCUGCAUGGCUUUAUGAUGAAAGGAGACGCCUGCGGAGAGCCUUGCGUCCUAUUAGCUAGUUGGUGAGGUAAUGGCUCACCAAGGCGAAGAUAGGUAGCCGGCCUGAGAGGGUGGACGGCCACAAGGGGACGGAGAUACGGCCCUUACUCCUACGGGAGGCAGCAGUGGGGAAUAUUGGACAAUGGGGGCAACCCUGAUCCAGCAAUUCUGUGUGCACGAAGAAGGUUUUCGGAGUGUAAAGUGCUUUCAGCAGGGAAGAAGUAAGUGACGGUACCUGCAGAAGAAGCGACGGCUAAAUACGUG